GUAGGGGAACCUGCGGCUGGAUCACCUCCUUAACGAAAGAUUGGUGACUGGUAAGAAUCCACAACAAGUUGUUCUUCGAUGAUGUAUCUGAGGGUCUGUAGCUCAGUUGGUUAGAGCACACGCUUGAUAAGCGUGGGGUCACAAGUUCAAGUCUUGUCAGACCCACCAAAUCUGAUUGCAGUAGCUUAGAUUGAAAGAUAUGUCGUUCAUUAAGUGAUAAGCUGGGGACUUAGCUUAGUUGGUAGAGCGCCUGCUUUGCACGCAGGAGGUCAGGAGUUCGACUCUCCUAGUCUCCACCAAAUUCGAGGAUAAACAAAGCAACGCUUUGUCCGAGAAUUUAAGCAAACAGCUAUGCUGUGCGCAGGCACACAUAGGAUGUAGCUUGAAGCUAAGAAGAUUAUAGAGUUUAGUGAAUACAGUCCAAGUUGACUGGUUUAUUAAUCUCUGUGAUUUAUCACAGUUUACUACGCACCGACGAGGUGGUAGUUAAUCAUUAACAGAUUAGUAGAAUUGAGUCUGAAAUAAAUUGUUCACUCAUUCUUUGAUUUAAACAUUUCGAUGUUUAAGUUGAAUGAAAUGAGAACUAGCAAAAACACUGAAUCAAGCGUUUUGGUAUAUGAAUUUAGAUUGAAGCUGUACGGUGAUUAAGUUCACGAAACAACAAGCUGUAUGAAUUAAUGUUUACAUUGAUUCUGUUGCUACACCCACUUGUAGGUGUAACGACUGUUUGGGGUUGUAUAGUCAAGUAAUUAAGUGCAUGUGGUGGAUGCCUUGGC
rnacentral:tRNA from 1 species